UACAGAGGUCUCAAGCGUUGUUCGGAUUCAUUGGGCGUAAAGGGUGCGUAGGCGGCGCGGUAAGUCGGGUGUGAAAUUUCGGAGCUUAAACUCCGAAACUGCAUUCGAUACUGCCGUGCUUGAGGACUGGAGAGGAGACUGGAAUUUACGGUGUAGCAGUGAAAUGCGUAGAGAUCGAUAGGAAGACCAGUGGCGAAGGCGGGAUC
rnacentral:rRNA from 1 species